rnacentral:rRNA from 1 species
ACGAGCGGCGGACGGCUGAGUAACACGUCGGAACCUGCCUCGAACUCAGGAAUAACCCAUCGAAAGAUGAGCUAAUACCGGAUAGUCCCUACGGGGUAAAGAUUUAUCGGUUCGAGAGGGUCCUGCGGCCUAUCAGUUAGUUGGUGAGGUAAAGGCUUACCAAGACGAUGACGGGUAGCUGGUCUGAGAGGAUGAUCAGCCAGACUGGGACUGAGACACGGCCCAGACUCCUACGGGAGGCAGCAGUUAGGAAUAUUCCGCAAUGGGGGAAACCCUGACGGAGCGACGCUGCGUGAAGGAUGACGCCUUUCGGGGUGUAAACUUCUUUUAUUGGGGAUCAAUUUUUGAGAGUACCCAAGGAAUAAGUGGCAGCUAAUCACGUGCCAGCAGCUGCGGUAAUACGUGAGCCACAAACGCUAACCGGAAUUAUUGGGCGUAAAGGGUCCGUAGGGGGGUUAGUAAGUAGUAUGUAACAGGCGUAGGCUCAACCUGCGUUUCGCGUACUAAACUGCUAGUCUAGAGGAUGUUAGAGGCUGGCGGAAUUCCCGGAGUAGGGGUAAUAUCCAUAGAUACCGGGAGGAACGCCAAUAGCGAAGGCAGCCAGCUGGAGCACUCCUGACCCUCAGGGACGAAAGCGUGGGGAGCGAACAGGAUUAGAUACCCUGGUAGUCCACGCUGUAAACGAUGGAUACUAGGCGUGUGCGACAUCGACCUCGCAUGUGCCGAAGCUAACGCGUUAAGUAUCACGCCUGAGGAGUACGAUCGCAAGAUUAAAACUCAAAGGAAUAGACGGGGACCUACACAAGCGGUGGAGCAUGUGGUUUAAUUCGAUAAUGAGCGAGGAACCUUACCUGGCCUUGACAUCCCGAGAACCUUUUAGAAAUAAAAGGGUGCCUUUUGGAACUCGGUGACAGGUGCUGCAUGGUUGUCGUCAGCUCGUGCCGUGAGGCGUUCUGUUUAGUCAGGUAACGAGCGCAACCCUCGUCGUUAGUUGUAUUUUUCUAGCGAGACUGCCCUCCACAAGAGGGAGGAAGGCGGGGAUGACGUCAAAUCAGCAUGGCUCUUACGGCCAGGGCCACACACGUGCUACAAUGGGGCGUACAAAGGGUAGCCAAGCAGCGAUGCGGAGCUAAUCUCAUCAAAGCGCCUCUCAGUUCGGGUUGAAGGCUGAAACUCGCCUUCAUGAAGUUGGAAUCGCUAGUAAAUGCCAAUCAGCCAUAUGGCAUUGAAUACGUUCCUAGGUCUUGUACUCACCGCCCGUCAAGUCAUGGGAGU